rnacentral:miRNA from 1 species
GUGCAGCACAGUACAGUACAG